CAGUAGCCACGGUAAUACAGAGGGUGCGAGCGUUAAUCGGAUUUACUGGGCGUAAAGCGUGCGUAGGCGGCUUUUUAAGUCGGAUGUGAAAUCCCUGAGCUUAACUUAUGAAUUGCAUUCGAUACUGGGAAGCUAGAGUAUGGGAGAGGAUGGUAGAAUUCCAGGUGUAGCGGUGAAAUGCGUAGAGAUCUGGAGGAAUACCGAUGGCGAAGGCAGCCAUCUGGCCUAAUACUGACGCUGAGGUACGAAAGCAUGGGGAGCAAACAGGAUUAGAUACCCCUGUAGUCCCUGUCUCUUAUAC
rnacentral:rRNA from 1 species